UGAACAAUCCAAAAAGUAAAUCAAGAAAGAAUUCCACUUACAAUAGCAUCCAAAAGAAUAAAAUACUUAGCAGCACAAAGAACACAAU